CAGGGUUCUAGAAGAACAGAAGUGAAGAAUCUGUCUCAGUUUUUUUCAGCCGUGGGAAAUACUCUAAUGUCCAAUCUGGCAUACCUGUUUCUAAAGGAAAAUGAUGAAGAUCGUACUGUUGGUAUUAAUACUGGACAUAUUCAAACACUUGACUAUAAUUUAGAAACAGCUGAUAAAGAAUUUGUCGUUCAGCGUGGAUAUAAUGCGACCAAAGCCUUUCUACAAUACUACGUCGUACAAAAUCCACAAACUAAGAAGAAGCCGAGA
rnacentral:sRNA from 1 species